rnacentral:rRNA from 1 species
GAUGAACGCUAGCGGCAGGCCUAACACAUGCAAGUCGAGGGGCAGCACAUAAAGUGGUUUACUACUUUUGGUGGCGACCGGCGGACGGGUGCGUAACGCGUAUGCAACCUGCCUCCAACAGGGGGAUAACGGAGAGAAAUUUCCACUAAUACCCCAUAAUAACAGAAUCGGCAUCGGUUUUGGUUGAAAACUCCGGUGGUUGGAGAUGGGCAUGCGUUGUAUUAGAUAGUUGGUGAGGUAACGGCUCACCAAGUCAACGAUACAUAGGGGGACUGAGAGGUUAGCCCCCCACACUGGUACUGAGACACGGGCCAGACUCCUACGGGAGGCAGCAGUGAGGAAUAUUGGUCAAUGGGGGCAACCCUGAACCAGCCAUGCCGCGUGCAGGAAGACGGCUCUAUGAGUUGUAAACUGCUUUUACAAGGGGAUAAAUCGGUGUACGUGUACACCGUUGAAGGUACCUUGGGAAUAAGGAUCGGCUAACUCCGUGCCAGCCGCCGCGGUAA